GAUGAACGCUGGCGGCGUGCUUAACACAUGCAAGUCGAACGGUGAAGCAGGAGCUUGCUCUUGUGGAUCAGUGGCGAACGGGUGAGUAACACGUGAGCAACCUGCCCCUGACUCUGGGAUAAGCGCUGGAAACGGCGUCUAAUACUGGAUAUGUGUUGUGACCGCAUGGUCUGCAUCUGGAAAGAAUUUCGGUUGGGGAUGGGCUCGCGGCCUAUCAGCUUGUUGGUGAGGUAAUGGCUCACCAAGGCGUCGACGGGUAGCCGGCCUGAGAGGGUGACCGGCCACACUGGGACUGAGACACGGCCCAGACUCCUACGGGAGGCAGCAGUGGGGAAUAUUGCACAAUGGGCGGAAGCCUGAUGCAGCAACGCCGCGUGAGGGAUGACGGCCUUCGGGUUGUAAACCUCUUUUAGCAGGGAAGAAGCGAAAGUGACGGUACCUGCAGAAAAAGCACCGGCUAACUACGUGCCAGCAGCCGCGGUAA
rnacentral:rRNA from 1 species